GACAUGACGUGUGGCUGUCGUAAAAACCCUAUUUGUAAACAACCAGUCCUUUAACUCGGGGCUGCGUCAUAAACACGGAGCGCUUGGAAGACCACGAUGUCAUCUUCCUUCUGUCAGGAGGAUCAAAGUGAAGCUACAGGAGUUUCAUUAACGUCAACAACUUGGACCGAACAGUUUGUUUUGCUUGAUGAAGAGCAGGAAGGGCAGCCUGGAGAGAAAGAGUAGCCGGGUUGAGCCCACUACCAUCAUCCAUGUACCACGAGGAAGAUGAGGGAGAGAAAUGAUCCUACCAUUAAAGAGACUGUGAAAAGAACGUUGAGAACAUCACCACUCUACAGGAAGACACAGUCCAGUAAUGGGUGUCAGAAGUUCAGUAGUGAACGACAGGUACUGUGGGAAAAUGUGUGUCAUUGUUGUACAAUGUCCUUUGACUCUGUUUAAACAAGGUCAACACAAAAAGGUUUGAUUGUAAACUGAUAUCGGUACGAAUUCAUGUUAUUCUCCUCCUCAAAAGAAACAAACAAUCAAAAUUACCUGCAGAAAGCCAUUGAUGGACGCUUCAGCUGCAUCGUCAGACUGGCAGUACUGAUGCAUUUACUGAGACGGGACGUGAGGGCCUACUCUGCGUGCUCAGAGUUCAAGCCCAGCAGGCUGCAGCGGGCCUGACAUAUUCUGGAACAGCAGCACAGUCUUUAGAUGACUCCUCUGAAGAUGAAAACAUGGCGAGUUCUCUCAAGAGAAGCAGUACAGGUGUGCCUCAGCUCCACGGUCCCUCCUGCAGCCUCCGCUCCUGAUGCUAACCUCAUGUCUCCAUCACACCAAGCAGCAGACCUGGAUUGACAGACCUUUCUCCAUAGCCGCCCCCUCCCUCUGAAACCCCCCUCUCCAAAACACUAUUUGUGUAGUUUUUAAAGUAUU